AAGACUGCAGGCAUGUACAUUCAAGGCUCCUGUUCUAUUUGUGUUUCCUUUAGGAUCCCAUUUCCUUUGACUGUCUGCAACAGAACAACGUAUUCUCUAUCUUCAGAGAUCUGAGCCACACUGUGUGUCAGUUCUGAUGAGUGUAGCUGCGUGGAACAACAACAAAAAAAAAGCUGACCUGGCUGAAACACAUCUAACACACGCCUGGAGGUGUGCAGACCAAAGCAGCUGUGAGUGAUGGCAUGAGGGAUCCAGCCUCUUCUUUUUGUUCCCCCAUCCCUAGGCAGAGGCUGCUGUCUUAUGUGUACUGCCUAGUGGUUACAAGAUGGCUGCUCCAUCUACGCCCCAGCCGGAGCGAUGGGAGAAGGCUUGCAGGCAACACAUGGCAAGGUUGGAUGUUCUUCAUGUGCUUCAACCAAAACAACUUGGAACACCAGAUUGAAAGGAGAAGCAGAUGUAUGAAGCCACUUGUUUUCUAUCAAGCUGGACAUUAAAGGGAUUUGAAAACAUGUAAAUCAAUGCCACUCUUUUCAUUAUGAUUUAGUUUUUUCCUCCUAAAAAUAUGUUAUUUAUGUUAACAUGCGAUGGCUUCCUUAUUAUCUCUAUAUGAACUAAUAAAGUAUUUUUAAAUAUCA